rnacentral:rRNA from 1 species
GAGUUUGAUCGUGGCUCAGGAUGAACGCUGGCGGCGUGCCUAACACAUGCAAGUCGAACGAAGCACUUUUACUCGAUUCUUCGGAUGAUGGUAAUAGUGACUGAGUGGCGGACGGGUGAGUAACGCGUGGGUAACCUGCCUCAUACAGGGGGAUAACAGUUAGAAAUGACUGCUAAUACCGCAUAAGACCACGGAGUCGCAUGACUCAGUGGGAAAAACUCCGGUGGUAUGAGAUGGACCCCGCGU